AGAGGAGAAGAUAGAGAGGUUAGGGGAAUAACGACAACAAGGAUGAUGAAAAGGGAGGACGAAGAAGAGGAGGUAGUGUAAAGUGUAGGGAGUGACAGAGGACAGUGACAUGUGCAUUGUGAAAUGUGUGUGUAUAGUGUGUUGAGGGAAAGCAAAGUAUGGAUAGAGCAUUGUAAGGGAGAGAGAGGAGUGAAUAGAUUGUAGUGAGGGAGAGAAGGGUGAAGGUGGAGGGGGAGAUGAGUGAAGGUGGAGGGAGAGAUGAGUGAAGGUGGAGGGAGAGAUGAGUGAAGGUGGAGGGAGAGAUGAGUGAAGGUGGAGGGAGAGAUGAGAGAAGGUGGAGGGAGAGAUGAGUGAAGGUGGAGGGAGAGAUGAGUGAAGGUGGAGGGAGAGAUGAGUGAAGGUGGAGGGAGAGAUGAGUGAAGGUGGAGGGAGAGAUGAGUGAAGGUGGAGGGAGAGAUGAGUGAAGGUGGAGGGAGAGAUGAGUGAAGGUGGAGGGAGACAUGAGUGAAGGUCGAGGGAGACACGAGUGUGAACUGUAAAGAGCAGUGGGGGAGAGAGGAGUACAGACAGA